rnacentral:rRNA from 1 species
GCGCAUACAGAGGGCGGCCAACUUGCGAAAGUGAGCGAAUCCCAAAAAGUGCGUCGUAGUCCGGAUUGGAGUCUGCAACUCGACUCCAUGAAGUCGGAAUCGCUAGUAAUCGUGGAUCAGAAUGCCACGGUGAAUACGUUCCCGGGCCUUGUACACACCGCCCGUCACACCAUGGGAGUGGGCUGCAAAAGAAGUAGGUAGUUU